CGACAACGGGGCGCUACUCAGGCAACCUGGGGGACUCCCCCAAGGGCUGUCAGGCUUCAGCUGGGAGCCGAUGCAACACCCCAGUGGGGAGGGGAGGUCGGCCAAUUCUAAUCCCGACGUGUCCUUGGUCCCAGGCGCUCGGAGCAGCAUCUGAGAGGGCUCACUCUGAUCAGCAGCUGCACGUUAAGCCGCAAACCGGCGUCGCUUCGGCGUUCCGGAACCCAGGCCUGGGGGCCGCGGGGAUUGCCUCUGCGUGCAACUCCGGAAAGUUUCAAGGGGUCCCCCGACUGCACAGGUCCGGAAAUCGGCUUUGAUAUGGAACUACUCCGCUCUAGCCUGGAAAGGAGACCCGCGCACUCCUCUCGCAGCUAAUUUCGGAUCAUUAAUUUAAUCGGAAAUGAGGUAACCAGUGUAGGAGACAGAGAAAGCAACCGGAGCAUCAAAUGGCAGUUCUCGAGAAUCGACGAGGAACUUAAAUCUGGACUCAGGGUUUCAGUGCGGUCUCCGACUCCCACCACCCCGCCCCUCCGCCUGUCUCGCCGCCAGGUGUGACCUCCACGCGAAGGAAUCUUCUUCGGAUGGGUGCACCUUGCCAACAGGUGUGGCACCUGGAGGACUAGGAGGCGCCUCCAGACUAAGGGCGCUCAGUGCGGCGUUCUUGUUGCAGAUGAUUCUGGAAGGCCGGUAGGUGUCGGGCGACAUUUGACCUUCUUCAGGUGCGUAGAACUAAGUGUCUGGAAACAUGAUCCCUUCGCGUAAGUUUCUUUCUGAAAGCCACCAAUCUUGACCGUAAGCUGUAUUUGAGAGAUCUUUUGGCUGAGUUUACUUAUGACCUAACGGUUAGUCACCAACUGAGGCAGGGCACAGGAUGACCAAAAAAAAAGUGUCAGUUUUUACACAACUCUGGCCUGCAAGAGCCUACGUGCUUCAUAAAUAAAAAUAAACAUACGAGCGAGGAAGGUGCAGAGCCCCGGAGAUAUUUUUUUCUCACAUUUUUGAAAUACCAUGCACAUAUAUGUGGC
rnacentral:lncRNA from 1 species